rnacentral:tRNA from 1 species
GCUGGCUCAGUUGGUAGAGCAUGUGACUCUUGAUCACAGCUGUGAGUUCAAGCCCCACGC